GUAGGUGGCAAGCGUUGUCCGGAAUUAUUGGGCGUAAAGCGCGCGCAGGUGGUUCUUUAAGUCUGAUGUGAAAGCCCCCGGCUCAACCGGGGAGGGUCAUUGGAAACUGGGGAACUUGAGUGCAGGAGAGGAAAGUGGAAUUCCACGUGUAGCGGUGAAAUGCGUAGAUAUGUGGAGGAACACCAGUGGCGAAGGCGACUUUCUGGCCUGUAACUGACACUGAGGCGCGAAAGCGUGGGGAGCAAACAGGGAUUAGAUACCCUGGUAGUCCACGCCGUAAACGAUGAGUGCUAAGUGUUGGGGGGGUUUCCCGCCCCUCAGUGCUGCAGCUAACGCAUUAAGCACUCCGCCUGGGGGUACGUCGCAAGACUG
rnacentral:rRNA from 1 species